CCAUCAUUUAUCUUAAAAAUCUCUUAUAGUAGAACGCAUAGGUUAUUUUCAACUUUUUACUAAAUUAAAUAUUCACAUUACAGUAAUAACAGAUAAAUCUAUGUAGACAUUGACGAUGACUCCGUAGGCUAAGUUCUGAAAAGUGGAAGUUACGGAUCACAGACUUUAUUAAGUAGUAGGGCCAAACUGGUCCCCUAAAAGGGCAUAUUCUUGCCAGCGUGGAGACCCACCCUUGCAGAGAAUAGGUGUUAGCAAUUACCUGAUGUUUGCUAAUUUGGUUGGGAGAGAUACAAUAUUUUAAUUUCAUUAAUUUGAUCAUUUGUGAGAAUAAACUUUUUUUCCGUAGGUUAAUUGAGUAUUUAUUUCUGUAUAUUCUUUGUGUAUUGUCUAUCAUGUUCUUUGCUCAUUUUUUCCCUGGAACAUGUGUCUUUUUCUAUUGAUCUUUAUCUAUUAAUUGUAUUGUCUUUGUCAUUAAAUUAUCCUUCCAGUUUGUUGUUUGCUUUUAAAUAUAAUUUAUGCAAUAAAUUCCUUCUUAAAUCUAAAUCUGUCUUGUCCCUUACGGAGUCUACUUUAGCAUGUACACAUAAAGGAACUUAGUAUCUUUAAUAACUUUUAUCAGAGUCCUUUAUUGUUCCUCAAUCAAUUCCUCGCUAUUUCAUUAUAUAACUUUUUAAAAGUCAUGAGUUAAGUCAUUUUUUUUUAAGAUUUUAUUUUUUUCCUUUUUCUCCCCAAAGCCCCCCGGUACAUAGUUGUAUAUUCUUCGUUGUGGGUCCUUCCAGUUGUGGGAUGUGGGACGCUGCCUCAGCGUGGUUUGAUGAGCAGUGCCAUGUCCGUGCCCAGGAUUCCAACCAAGGAAACACUGGGCCGCCUGCAGCGAGCGCGCGAACUUAACCACUCCGCCACAGGGCCAGCCCUAAAUCAUUUUUGAAAAUCGUGAGUUACAUUUAGGUUUUACACACCUAUUCAGUUCAGUCUAACAGAUUUUUUCCGCAUUCUUCCUACUUUCAGUCUAGCACAGUGUUAGGAGCUAGAGAUAAGAGAAAACUAAUCCAUGAGAGAGGGCUAAUCCAGGAGAGAAGAUAAUCCAGGAGAAAGGGCGAUCCAGGAGAGAGGGCGAUCCAGGAGAGAGGGCGAUCCAGGAGAGAAGGUGAUCCAGGCGAGAGGGCGAUCCAGGAGAGAGGGCAAUCCAGGAGAGAGGGCGAUCCAGGAGAGAAGGUGAUCCAGGAGAGAGGGUGAUCCAGGAGAGAAGGCGAUCCAGGAGAGAGGGCGAUCCAGGAGAGAGGGCGAUCCAGGCGAGAGGGCGAUCCAGGAGAGAGGGCGAUCCAGGAGAGAGGGCGAUCCAGGAGAGAGGGCGAUCCAGGAGAGAGGGCGAUCCAGGAGAGAGGGCGAUCCAGGCGAGAGGGCGAUCCAGGCGAGAGGGCGAUCCAGGCGAGAAGGUGAUCCAGGAGAGAGGGUGAUCCAGGAGAGAGGGCGAUCCAGGAAAGAGGGCGAUCCAGGAGAGAGGGCGAUCCAGGAGAGAGGGUGAUCCAGGAGAGCGAGUGAUCCAGGAGAGAGGGUGAUCCAGGAGAGAGGGUGAUCCAGGAGAGUGGGUGAUCCAGGAGAGAAGAUGAUCCAGGAGAGAGGGUGAUCCAGGAGAGAGGGCGAUCCAGGAGAGAGGGUGAUCCAGGAGAGAAGGUGAUCCAGGAGAGAAGAUGAUCCAGGAGAAAGAGG
ensembl:lncRNA